AUACGUAGGGGGCGAGCGUUGUCCGGAAUGAUUGGGCGUAAAGGGCGCGUAGGCGGCCAUGUAAGUCUGAAGUGAAAGUCCUGUUUUUAAGAUGGGAAUUGCUUUGGAUACUGUGUGGCUUGAGUGCAGGAGAGGUAAGUGGAAUUCCCAGUGUAGCGGUGAAAUGCGUAGAGAUUGGGAGGAACACCAGUGGCGAAGGCGACUUACUGGACUGUAACUGACGCUGAGGCGCGAAAGUGUGGGGAGCAAACAGGAUUAGAUACCCUGGUAGUCCACACUGUAAACGAUGAAUGCUAGGUGUAGGGGGUAUCGACCCCUUCUGUGCCGCAGUAAACACAAUAAGCAUUCCGCCUGGGGAGUACGGCCGCAAGGUUGAAACUCAAAGGAAUUGACGGGG
rnacentral:rRNA from 1 species